rnacentral:rRNA from 1 species
GAUGAACGCUGGCGGCGUGCCUAAUACAUGCAAGUCGAGCGAACGGACGAGAAGCUUGCUUCUCUGAUGUUAGCGGCGGACGGGUGAGUAACACGUGGAUAACCUACCUAUAAGACUGAGAUAACUUCGGGAAACCGGAGCUAAUACCGGAUGAUAUUUUGAACCGCAUGGUUCAAAAGUGAAAGACGGUCUUGCUGUCACUUAUAGAUGGAUCCGCGCUGCAUUAGCUAGUUGGUAAGGUAAUGGCUUACCAAGGCAACGAUGCAUAGCCGACCUGAGAGGGUGAUCGGCCACACUGGAACUGAGACACGGUCCAGACUCCUACGGGAGGCAGCAGUAGGGAAUCUUCCGCAAUGGGCGAAAGCCUGACGGAGCAACGCCGCGUGAGUGAUGAAGGUCUUCGGAUCGUAAAACUCUGUUAUUAGGGAAGAACAUAUGUGUAAGUAACUGUGCACAUCUUGACGGUACCUAAUCAGAAAGCCACGGCUAACUACGUGCCAGCAGCCGCGGUAAUACGUAGGUGGCAAGCGUUAUCCGGAAUUAUUGGGCGUAAAGCGCGCGUAGGCGGUUUUUUAAGUCUGAUGUGAAAGCCCACGGCUCAACCGUGGAGGGUCAUUGGAAACUGGAAAACUUGAGUGCAGAAGAGGAAAGUGGAAUUCCAUGUGUAGCGGUGAAAUGCGCAGAGAUAUGGAGGAACACCAGUGGCGAAGGCGACUUUCUGGUCUGUAACUGACGCUGAUGUGCGAAAGCGUGGGGAUCAAACAGG